rnacentral:rRNA from 1 species
AUUGAACGCUGGCGGAAUGCUUUACACAUGCAAGUCGAACGGUAGAGGGGGCAACCCCUCGAGAGUGGCGAACGGGUGAGUAAUAUAUCGGAACGUGCCCAGUCGUGGGGGAUAACGUAGCGAAAGUUACGCUAAUACCGCAUACGAUCGAAGGAUGAAAGCGGGGGAUCGCAAGACCUCGCGCGAUUGGAGCGGCCGAUAUCGGAUUAGGUAGUUGGUGGGGUAAAGGCUCACCAAGCCAACGAUCUGUAGCUGGUCUGAGAGGACGACCAGCCACACUGGAACUGAGACACGGUCCAGACUCCUACGGGAGGCAGCAGUGGGGAAUUUUGGACAAUGGACGCAAGUCUGAUCCAGCCAUUCCGCGUGCAGGAUGAAGGCCCUCGGGUUGUAAACUGCUUUUGUACGGAACGAAAAGGUCUCUCUUAAUACGGGGGACUCAUGACGGUACCGUAAGAAUAAGCACCGGCUAACUACGUGCCAGCCGCCGCGGUAA